rnacentral:rRNA from 1 species
GAUCCUGGCUCAGAUUGAACGCUGGCGGCGUGCUUAACACAUGCAAGUCGUACGCGAAAGGGACUUCGGUCCCGAGUAAAGUGGCGCACGGGUGAGUAACACGUGGAUAAUCUGCCUCUAUGAUGGGGAUAACAGUUGGAAACGACUGCUAAUACCGAAUACGCUCAUGAUGAACUUUGUGAGGAAAGGUGGCCUCUGCUUGCAAGCUAUCGCAUAGAGAUGAGUCCGCCG